rnacentral:piRNA from 1 species
UUGGAGCGCAUGGCUCUUGACAGGAGC